rnacentral:rRNA from 1 species
AUUGAACGCUGGCGGCAGGCCUAACACAUGCAAGUCGAGCGAGCGGCGGACGGGUGAGUAAUGUAUGGGGACUGCCCGAUAGAGGGGGAUCACUACUGGAAACGGUGGCUAAUACCGCAUACUAUCGGAUAACCCAUAUGGGAUUAGCUAGUCGGUGGGGUAAAGGCUCACCUAGGCGACGAUCUCUAGCUGGUCUGAGAGGAUGAUCAGCAACACGGGGACGGAGACACGGCCAAGACUCCUACGGAGGCAGCAGUGGGGAAGAGUGCACAAGGGGCGAAAGCCGGAUGCAGCCAGGCGGCGGGUAUGAAGAAGGCCUUAGGGGUGUAAAGUACGUGAAGCGGGGAGGCGGUACCCGCAGAAGAAGCACCGGCUAACUCCGUGCCAGCCGCCGCGGUAAUUC